UCCCACACAUCCCCCCAUCUCCCCCGCAGCCCUCGGCCCCGAUCCCAUCUCUCCCCUCUCUCCUUUCUCAGAAAAAUCGCCGGCCCAUAUCUUGAUUCGCCGCUGCCGCUCCCCUCCUCGUCAGCCUCGUGGUUGCGGUGGCCGAAGUCCUGGCUGUGGACGCCGCCGCUCCCCUCCUUGUCAGCCUUGUGGUCGCGGUUGCCGUAGCCGCCGGCCCUGCACUCUCCUCUUCAGGAUGUCCCUCGUGCCACCCUCGUGUUGUUGUCGUCGCGCUGCCUCUGUACACCGGCAACCAACUGUUCAGUUCCAUGGGCCCUGAUUGUUUCUUGAAUUUCAGAUUGUUGGGCAUGAGAGCCAUCAUCGGCUGGUUGAUCCACCUCGCUAGCUCGUGUCCGUCGAGGUCGUUGACUCGUCCAUUCCUGAAUUGUUAAGCUUCGCUGCAGCAGACUCGCCUUGGAGUUUCAGUUUCGAUCACAUGCAUGACCCUAUAGGCACAUGUUCGGACCAAGAAGACUACUUCUGUGCUUGAACUAUUCCAAAUUGCAGCUAUUUUUCAGGAGAAGAACAGGUAUGUGUGCCCUGAUUAGAAAAGUGUAGACCUCAACAGUGUAGAAUUUAUCUGUCGCAUCAGGAAGGCGCCAAAAAACAUGUUUCCUGAACUUCUGGUUUCUGACUUGUAGCAGCUCAGGAGCAUCCAAAGAUGAUUGAUUCAUCGAUCAAUGGUUGAUGGCAAUUAGCUCAGAGAACAGAACAACUUUGCAACUGGCAAUCUUGUCCAUUACAUCUACUUUGUUUGACAAAAUAUUCCUAAGGGUAGUUUCAGUUUGAUUUAGGCAUCUACAUUAUCUUACAAUCUUGUUUGUAAAUAAAUUUUCAGGUUUGUCUGUUAGUGUCGCCCUGCCAUGGCACGGGUGAACUAGAAUGUAUCAUCAGUUCGUCACCCAUAAGCAAUGAAAUCUGAUGUGUUUUUUGUUC